CAACUUUGCUCUUUCGGCCUCAAGUUACAGCAGCCUUCUUAAAGCUACACGAAAGAAAUGAUCAUCGGAACUAUCGAUGUGCAUUCGUUCAAAAGAAUCGUUCACCGAAUCGAAAGUGCUUGAUUGUUUAACUUUAUUAGUGUAGUUUAAUUCUAUUCACAGCAAGCGACAACAACGAUUAGAUUGAACUUGUGCAACUCUGCAAGGAAGAAUGGGCAACUAUGACCCAAUCAAGGUUCAAACCUGGAGCUUUGACUUCAAUCCAUGCAGCAAGCAGGUACCAGGUCCUUUAGCACCACCUAGUGGACGAAAUGGGAAGAGACUGCACACGCUGAAAUGAAUCGGUCCCAACAAUUGUUCAUGUAUGAAAGUGUGCAUGUGUUUCACCAAUGAAGGAUGCAGGUAGGAGCAUCUCUGAACUUCUCUCCAACCGCACUUCGUUGGCCUGAAAGACAAGGGAACUUUGUAACCCAUAGAGUGUUACAUUUUCAGUCAUAUUUCGAAACUUGCAGACAAAAAAAAAAGGUCAAGUACUUUAGUCAGUUGUCCUUGAAAUAAAAACAUGAUUUUUUGCCUUG